rnacentral:rRNA from 1 species
AUUCGAUGCAACGCGAAGAACCUUACCUACUCUUGACAUCCAUGGAAUCUUGUAGAGAUACGAGAGUGCCUUCGGAACCAUGAGACAGGUGGUGCAUGGUUGUCGUCAGCUCGUGUCGUGAGAUGUUGGGUUAAGUCCCGCAACGAGCGCAACCCCUAUUGUUAGUUGCCAUCAUUUAGUUGGGCACUCUAGCGAGACUGCCGGUAAUAAACCGGAGGAAGGUGGGGAUGACGUCAAAUCAUCAUGCCCCUUAUGACCUGGGCUACACACGUGCUACAAUGGCUGGUACAACGAGUCGCAAGCCGGUGACGGCAAGCUAAUCUCUUAAAGCCAGUCUCAGUUCGGAUUGUAGGCUGCAACUCGCCUACAUGAAGUCGGAAUCGCUAGUAAUCGCGGAUCAGCACGCCGCGGUGAAUACGUUCCCGGGCCUAGUACAC